CAAAAAAGGCCCUUCAGUUUUAAUAGUAUUGAUAUGUAAAAUUUUGUCAAAAUACAAAAAUAUGAAAUAUAGUUUAGUAUAGUGUCACUAAACGGAUUUGGACCAGGAUUUGUAGGUUUAUUGAUAAUCUUUUAAACCAAAUACACUAAAAUCAAUAGAUUAAAUUUAUUAUGAUAAAUUUAAUUUAUAAUAUUUUGUGGUUUCAAGUUAUCCUACUACUACUUUUCACAUGGGUCCGCUAGUCAAGAACCAUGGCGUUUUAACUGUACAGUCCUGAAAUUUUGGGGACUUGAAAUAAAACUGAAAAUGGAGACUUAUUUAUUAUCACAAAAAAACAGUGAAAUUGUGUUCAUAGUUUGGAGGUGGUGAGGUUUUUCAAUGGAGAAAAAAAAAAGAAAUUUAGUCUUUAAACAAAAAAAAAGAAAAGAAAAGAGGUGCAAGUGUCUAGAAAAAUAAGAAGGAUACGGUAAGCAAAAUGAUUUUUUAGUUUUAUGGGGUUUGUUACUUGGCCCAAUUAAUUGUUAUGUACUUAUUAAGCCCAAAAUGUUUAAAUUGUAAUCUUAUAUUACAUAUAUAAAUGGGCCUUUUCUCAAUUUGGGGCCUAUAAAAACGGGAGUCUGAAACAUAUGUUUCAAUGGACUUUGCCAAGGGCCGGCUUCAAAAUGGUUAUGAAAUGUUUAUACCGAAUAACUGAACCGGAAUGAAAUUCGCAUUCAACCGCGUGGAUAAACCAAUAUUUUCCAAAAUCCGACAUUUGUUGAUACUCUUACCGACCAGAGCUAGGCCCAUUCAUUUUAUUAUUAAGAACCCAAUAUCUGGAGUAAUUGAGUUACUUUCAGCCUUUAGAUUUGGGGUUGGUCGAAUUCUUAUCCAGAAAGUUACAUCCAGUUUUGGAGUUUGUCGGAUCCUCAUCCAGAUUCCAGAGCAAAAUCCUAACUUUCGAGUUUGCAGUGGACUUUUUCUGUAAGAAAUCAGUGGUUCUUCGAUAUCAAGUUUUUAAUGAACUGCAUUUAAGAGAGACAUCAGGACUAAGCUAACUAGUAAAAAGUAGUUUACGUCUAUUUUAUUAUACAAACAUAUGAGAAACUAACCCAACCAAGGCCUAACAUAGAAGCUGCUUCGAAGGCAGUGUGAACACCUUAAUCAUUAUCCUCAAGGACCACUUUACCUCUCAGAUUUUUCUUUACUACCAAGAUUAUCUCUUUGCUUUU
rnacentral:lncRNA from 1 species